rnacentral:rRNA from 1 species
UACGGAGGGUGCGAGCGUUGUCCGGAAUCACUGGGCGUAAAGGGCGCGUAGGCGGCGCAGUAAGUAGGGGGUGAAAUCUCACGGCUCAACCGUUAAACGGCCUCCUAAACUGCUGUGCUUGAGCACGGUAGAGGCAGAUGGAAUUCCCGGUGUAGCGGUGGAAUGCGUAGAUAUCGGGAAGAACACCAGUGGCGAAGGCGGUCUGCUGGGCCGUUGCUGACGCUGAGGCGCGACAGCGUGGGGAGCAAACAGGAUUAGAAACCCCGGUAGUCC